rnacentral:lncRNA from 12 species
CUGGGCCCGAGCGCUCGUGGGGCCGGUCCCCCGCGCGGGGCCUGCGGGGCGCCUGCGGACGUGGACUCGUCGGGCUCCCACCGCGCGGAUGGGGGGGACCCCGCGCACUUGGACGUGUGCCCGCGGCGGCCGCACCCACCGCGCCCGUGGCCCCCGUGUCCUGCUGCGGGUCCGCCCCCCCGCAGCCCGCUCACCGAAUCCCGACUUUGAACCCAAAGGCGGCCGGAGCGCGUGGGGUCGGCCCCAGCCCGCGGGCGCCCCGGGCCUCCCCGAAAUCCCUGCCAGCAGGCAUCGCGGGCCCAGGACAGAGCCCCCCACCUCGGAGCAGCCGGGCGCCAGGCGAGUUAGGAGGCAUCCUCCGCUGACCUUGACCCCUCCCCGCGGCCACCUGGGACCCUGGCAUUCUAGGAAGACGUUGGACAGAAGUGUUCAAAUGUGUCCUGAGGCGGUCGGAGGAUAUUUUUUCAUGUCAUUUCCUUUUGUAGACCGAGUGUCUGAUUGGACCACUGUAAUGCUUUCUUUUUUGGUUGUUUUUAAACAAAGUGCCCGUGUAUUCUGAUUAAGGAAAUAAAUGAAAUGUGUGCGUACCUAUACCUGUGAAU